rnacentral:rRNA from 1 species
GACGAACCGUGCGAACGUUGUUCGGAAUCACUGGGCUUAAAGGGCGCGUAGGCGGGCGGGCAAGUCUGCGGUGAAAGCCUCCAGCUCAACUGGAGAAGUGCCGUGGAUACUGCUCAUCUUGAGGAGGGUAGGGGCGUCUGGAACGUUGGGUGGAGCGGUGAAAUGCGUUGAUAUCCAACGGAACGCCGGUGGCGAAGGCGAGGCGCUGGACCCUUUCUGACGCUGAGGAGCGAAAGCAUGGGGAGCGAACAGG